GAUGAACGCUGGCGGCGUGCCUAAUACAUGCAAGUCGAGCGAACAGAUGAGGAGCUUGCUCCUCUGACGUUAGCGGCGGACGGGUGAGUAACACGUGGAUAACCUACCUAUAAGACUGGGAUAACUUCGGGAAACAGGGGCUAAUACCGGAUAAUAUAUUGAACCGCAUGGUUCAAUAGUGAAAGACGGUUUUGCUGUCACUUAUAGAUGGAUCCGCGCCGCAUUAGCUAGUUGGUAAGGUAACGGCUUACCAAGGCGACGAUGCGUAGCCGACCUGAGAGGGUGGUCGGCCACACUGGAACUGAGGCACGGUCCAGACACCGAGGGGAGGCAGCAGUAGGGAAUCUUCCGCGAUGGAGGAAAGCCUGACGGAGCAACGCCGCGUGAGUGAUGAAGGUCUUCGGAUCGUAAAACUCUGUUAUUAGGGAAGAACAAAUGUGCAAGUAACUAUGCACGUCUUGACGGUACCUAAUCAGAAAGCCACGGCUAACUACGUG
rnacentral:rRNA from 1 species